rnacentral:misc_RNA from 1 species
AAAUAUCAUCCAACAUGUCUGCGCCCUUGAGUCAAUGAAAGGAACGACUUCUGAAAUCUUGCACAAAUAUUGCCAUAUCUGGUUAAUUUGCCUUGAUUUUUAAAAUGUUAUAGGAAAAUGCUGUGCAGAAAUGUUUAUUCUUUGGCUGUUAAACUCGGCGCUAGUUUGAAAAUACCAUGCAAUGUGCGCGAGCUUUGUUCUGUCAAAACACAACAUAUUGGUACACUCUGUUCCGUUAGCCCCAGUCGUCAGACAUACGGACAAUCUUUUAUAACUACGACUACCAAUGCAAAAAUAUUCUAUCGUCGCUUUGUUUUAACAACGUGUCAAAACUGCCGAAAACAUGAUGAUUUUAGGAGAGGGAAAGGGAAUGUACAACAGAAGGAAAAUAUUCUGACUGUGCCAAAUCUUCUAACAGCCAGUCGAAUUGUUUCUACACCAUUUCUAGGCUACAUGGUGACACAUGGGUAUUUCGAAAUAGCUCUUGGGUUGUUUGUUGUUGCUGGCAUCACUGACCUUCUUGAUGGAUAUGUUGCAAGAAAUUUCAAAGGACAAAUGUCGAGCUUUGGGACAUUUCUGGACCCUUUGGCAGACAAGGUCAUGAUGACAGUGAUGUUUACCACUCUGUCAAUGGCAAACAUUGUUCCAGUGGCGCUGGCGGUGAUAGUGGUGGGCAGGGAUGUGUUACUGGUGGGGGCCGGAUUCUAUGUAAAAUACAUUUCACUAAAACCACCAAUAACAUUCUCAAAAUUCUUUGAUGUUACAAAUGCAAGUGCAACACUUCAUCCUUCGACACUGAGCAAGUACAACACACUUCUCCAGCUGUUGCUGAUCUCCUCAGCUCUGGUAUCUCAGGUGAUGGGAUGGGGGGAUAACCCCGCCCUCCAAACUCUAUAUACAUGUUCUGUUGUAGUUUGGUCACAGGUUGUACGACUAUUGGAUCUGGCCUGCAGUAUAUGUGGAACUCUAAAGCUUAUUUUAAAUUAAAGAAAAAAUGAAAAAA